GGGUUUGUAGUUCAGUUGGAAGAAUGUCGGUCUGCGGAACCGAUGGUCGGGGGUUCAAAUCCCCCCAAACCCG
rnacentral:tRNA from 1 species